GGAGGAACAGCAACAACAUCAUCCCUACAAAAACGAAGCAAAGGUAACAAGAUCAGAUUGAAAGCAAUUAUUUGUCUGUACAAAUAUGGACAUAGAACUAACAAUGAUGAGAAUAUGUUAAUAAUGUUACAGUACAGGUACCAAGCAUGUUGCCCAUAACCACAGAUCCUUCAAUUAUGGCUUUUUUUUAAUACACACGCGCAUGCGUGCGC
rnacentral:misc_RNA from 1 species